rnacentral:rRNA from 1 species
UCCUACGGGAGGCAGCAGUGAGGAAUAUUGGUCAAUGGGCGGGAGCCUGAACCAGCCAAGCCGCGUGAGGGAAGAAGGUACAGCGUAUCGUAAACCUCUUUUGUCAGGGAACAAAGGCGGGGACUAGUCCCCGGAUGAGGGUACCUGAAGAAAAAGCAUCAGCUAACUCCGUGCCAGCAGCCGCGGUAAUACGGAGGAUGCGAGCGUUAUCCGGAUUUAUUGGGUUUAAAGGGUGCGCAGGCGGUCUGUUAAGUCAGCGGUCAAAGCCCGGGGCUCAACCCCGGCCCGCCGUUGAAACUGGCAGU